UUUUUUUUUUUUUUGCCAUAUAUGGUAACAUUUAUAGCUUCCAGGGAUUAAGACCUGGAUGUCUUUGUGGAGCCAUUUUCAGCCUACCGCGGGGCUCACCUUUAUACAGACUGUCUUGAAUUUCCCAGCAGUUCCUCAGUUGUGCUUUACGGACCCAAAAGGGUUCUGUCCCUCCCCAGGUGACUCUGUCCCAUUCAGAUCUCUGGCCUAAAUCUAAAAGCUCAUGCCAACCCCACUGAGCAAACUCUUCUUCUCAAACCAAGCCUUUCCAGGUCUUUCCAACUUCAGUUAAAAAGGUAGAGAAACUGAUCAGACGCUCUUGGUAGCCCAUCAGUAUCUGUGCAUGACGAGGUGGCAAAGCUCUGGGAAGGGUUAGCCGUUUGGAAACGCCUUUAGAAAUCCAAAUACAAAGACUUAGGAUGGUUUGACACUGAUUUCAUACCCCCAUCUACCCAUUUCCACCUAUGUCUUUGUUCCUUGUUUUCUUUAUUUUAAUGUAUUCCAUUCUCACAAUUGUAAAAUGGGGCCCAAGCUGUGCAUUUCAGGGUCAUUAUCGCCUUUCUUAGGAAGUCAAAGCCCCCAUCUUUGACCUUAUGCUUUCUAAUACCACCUAAGGUGGUAAAAUUACCCACAAAUGCACAGUCUGUCAGGUCUUAUUGCUCGAGUGCAACCCACUUCCACAGCAGGAUGAGGAGGGAGGGGGUAGAUUCCUGUGAUUUGCAUUAGCACUUGUCCUUGGGAUAUGCUGAAUCUUGGCUCUGAAACAAAGUGUAAAAAUGAUAAAUUUGUCACCUAAUAUGGACCACUGCAUUCACAAGACUGCAACUCCUAACAUUAGUGGAGAUUAGGAUAUAACUUUUUUAAUUUGGAGCCUCAUUACACAGUAUAAAUAAAAAUAGAGCUCCAACUAUAUCAUCUUUAAUUGCCUCUAGACAGAAUGCUGAUUAUCUUCAGAGGUCUCGACCAUGUGUUUCUGGGGAGCCAGCAGAGUGGGUGCCUUGCUUUAACAGCAAAGUCAGGAAAACCGGGUGGGUAUCAUUAAGAGAGGGCAGAGCUGGAUGUCUGUAGUCCUCCCAACUAGCAGCACAGUUGAACAAAAUGUGUGAACAGAAUAUGACGCCAUGGUCAAGGGGAUGUCUUCCUGUGUGUGAAGUUGGAGGAAGGAUGUACAUUCAGCCAUCUGAGUGUAAGGAACCAUCCAUCCACUUUUCCUUCGGUUUCUCCUUACCAAGAGUUUGAAAAUAGCCACGGUUUUCACUCUUAGCCUGGCAGAGAUCCAGAGAGAGAUGCUGGUACUCAAGCUGUGAUGGCUGAGUCUUUUAGCAUCCCUUGGUACAACUGAUUAAAGCAAUCGAUCAAUACCAAAGUUUGAGAAAAACUAGUGUGGGUAUGUUACAGACGAAGUCCCAUGAAUAAAUAACUCAGAUAAUGGCGUUUGUCUUACUAUCCAGCUCAUUCAUAAUUUAGCAAGAGUAAUACCCAUUAAAAGAACACCUAGGAUGAUCUCUGCCAAAAUUAAGAGUUAAUUGGUUUCUAUCUUCUGGGAAGUCUCUCCAACAAACAGGGAAGGGAAAGUGGGCUAUGUACUGUAAUAGUGGAUGUAAAGUCACUUCUAAGCCAUACUCUCAUCUGCUGGAGAUUUUUCCUUCAAUAGUACUUCAAGUAGCAUCUUUGGGAUCCAACUUCUACAGCUCAACAGAAGUUUUAGAAAGGUCUUUUUUCUGUCCAAGUAGGGCUCAAAUCUGUAUCAUAAAAAAUAUAAUCCACUGCUUUAAAUAAAUUAAUUCACUGGGCUCUGGGUACAGAGAGUAUAAAUAAGUUCCUCCUGGGAUGGAAAUGUUUUUGUAAUACAAAUGAAGCAUUGCUAGAGGCACUCUCUCCAUUCUGGCUGGUUCAGGCUUCAGUUAUAAAUGGUUAAUGGCAUCCCAUUCACGCGGCUCCAGCACUUGGGUUGGUCUUGUGGACAAGAGAAAUCAGGACCUACCCUGGGAAGCGAAAGGUAAGACGACACCCCCAACAGGCCAGGAGAUAGAAAUGUUGUGAUCCAGUUCCAGACUAUCCAGUAAAGCAGACGGUUCUUGCUUUACCACUGAAGAAAUCGGGCACAAGGAAGUCAAGGUGAUUUCAUCAAGGUUCACAUUGGAAGCCCAGUCAGCAAGUUUAUACUGAAGUGACUGCAUAGCUCUAAAUUUUGACGGAAUGAUGCUAGUCCUGGGUGUGCAUUUGAGGCUGGGAAGCUUGUUGAUUACAGGAUUUAAAAAAAAAAGCUGACGUCCUUGCCAUAGUACAGAUGGGCAUCGAUUUUUGCCUUACCAAUUGAUCUGUCACUGGAUUUCAGUGAGCUCUUUAGAGACACACGGAUGAGGUUGGAGUGUGUGAAAAUCGUUGUUGAACCUUAUCAUCUCCAAAGAUGUAUUGGGGGAAAAAUCAUGUCUUUCAAAUAAUGUCUGUGCUUAUACUGCAUCAGUAAUUGCUGUAUAAAAUAAACUUGAGUAUGUUCCUAAUGUCCUCUAGAGAUGCUGUAAGUACCGUUUGCUAGUAUUUAUGAUCUGCCAUCAACCAAGAGUCAAGGCCAUAAAUCAUUACCCUGAAUAUAAUAUUUUUGUUUCAUGAAAGUCUGAGCUUUCAACCCCAAAGCAACAAAUCAGUCCCCUCCUUAUUGAGCCUGUCACAGCCCAUCCUUGAGGACGAGCACAUUUAUUACCAUUUCCGUGUGAAGGAACUGAAAGGAGGGACGGGGACCAUCAAUAUAAAGGGAAAAGCAGUGCCUGGCGGGGGGCGUGGCCUGGCUCCACCACGUGGAGGCGUCACCUCAGGGUCACAUUUUUGAUGGCCCGUGUGUGAUGUGGCGAUCAAGUUUCCAUGUCACCAAGAAUCGAGCUGUUAACUGUCACCUUAGCUGAGAGGCUUGACAUGAGGGCAGAGGGCUCAGAGGAGCUGGAGGCUGAACGUUCAGCCUCUUGACCGACCCCUGAAGCACUCCAGGCUCCUCUGAGGACAAGCCUGCUUCUCAAGGAACCACAUUUGAUGAUCUUCUGAGGGAGAAGAGGUCCCCGGGACCGGCCAGUGUUAGCUUGUGUGUGCAGGAGGAAGCUUUUCCCCUCUAGGGGUUUCUCUUUGACAGAUUGGAUGAAACCUGAGCAAUGCUUCUUGCAGAAUAGGAAGCUGCUUGUUUUCCCUCUCAUGGGGAGAUCACGGUGUGGGCACAGCUCCCAGGGAGGAAUGCCACCCAAAAGGGCAAUAGCCAGAUUUCCAAAGUGGAGCAGCCACUUGGGUGAUGCUAACCAAUAUUUACCAAGACCUGUUGCCAGAGACACAGAAGAGCUCUCGUCAUGAUGCAGAGCUUUUUUCUCUGGUGUCUCAAUGAAACCAUCAUUGAUUGGGGCGUCUUCUCCAUAGGGCCAAUAUUUGUAAGAGG
rnacentral:lncRNA from 1 species